rnacentral:tRNA from 2 species
GCUGAUGUAGCUCAAUUGGUAGAGCAACUGACUUGUAAUCAGUAGGUUGGGGGUUCAAGUCCUCUCAUCAGCUCCA